UUUAGAACACUCCUGUCAAUGUCGUGAAACAAUUGCCACCUUUACAUCAUAUUAACUAGAUGGAGAAGUACACACCUCCCUUCCGUGUGACGGUCCUGCUGUCUCUACUUCUUCUCGGAUGCAUUGCUACUACUAUACAAUGUGAAAUAAUCAUGGAUGGCGUGGACAAGAUCAACUUACCAAUCGGGUUGUGCGCCUAUAUAAAAGAGCGUGACCUCUAUUGUUGCCUUGUGAAUUCUUUGUGCUAUUGGACAGUCGAUGUAUGCAUAAGAGAAUGCAAAAAUACUGCACACGUAGUGGCGAUGACAAACACUCCUUUAGCUACCCUUCCUCCACUCCCAUCAAACUGAAUUUUUGUUUGAAGAAAUAAUAUGUAAUGUGGAAGACAAAUCUAUUUCCCGAUUAAUAAAGGGAGGUGGUAUUCUUGGUUU